rnacentral:sRNA from 1 species
CGAUCUGCUGCGGGCAGAUGAAGUGGAUGUGCGCGUCGAUGCCGCCGGCGGUGACGAUCUUGCCCUCGCCCGCGAUCACUUCGGUCGCCGGGCCGAUAACGAUGUCCACGCCCCGCUGGACAUCGGGAUUGCCGGCCUUGCCGAUCCCCGCGAUGCGGCCGUCCCGGAUCGCGAUAUCGGCUUUGACGAUUCCCCAGUGGUCCAGGAUGAGGGCGUUGGUGAUGACCGUAUCCGCCGCGCCGUCCUGACGGCUGACCUGGGACUGGCCCAUGCCGUCGCG